AAUUCGAGGUCAGGACUUCUGAGUUAGAGGUCAGGAAGCCAGGCAGACUGAGCAGCAGAGGUCUACAGGCAUCGUGAGUAUGUGAGCCAGAGUUGGCUUCAGAGAGGGAAGUGAGAACGUCUAGAGUGCCAGAACAAUUGCUUCAACAAAACCCCACCACUUCCUCCAUGCCAUGUGAUUCUCCAUCUAUGGAGACGUUCCCAUUGCAGAAUGGUCUCCUUCCUGUGAAUUAGCAUGUAACCGGGAACACAGAAGAUGGGGUCUAGAGCUGAUUAUGAGGGCUGGGCUGUGUCAGUGACUUCCAAGCCUACUAAUGUCUGACUACUCACCUAACAGGGCUAAAGUGGGGAAGAGCAGACGGGAACGCCAUGGAGCCUGGCAAGAUGACAGUCACUGAAAUGCAAACGGAGCACCUCCGAGGAUGACGAGGAUGACGAGGAUGACGAGACAGGUGGGAAGAAGUGAAGCAAAAGCGAGAGAUGGACCGUAAGCCCCUAUUGCUGAGAAGACCAUCUUACCUGAAAACCUUUUUCCUGAGGACCAGAAUGCACUAUGCAGGCUCUCUAAGGAGGGAAACAACCAAUAUCUCUACACAGCUAUGAUGCUGAUGGACCACAACGAUGACCCGCGAGACACAAUAACCCUAAAGGUGCAGUAGUGGCACACACACCUUGUGGUAACCAAUGACUCUCUAAUUGGGGUUAAAAUUUUCUCAACAGAAGAAAACCAUGCCUGCUACAGGAAACCUAGCCAACAGCCUAGGUCUAGUGGGAGUUCAUGGAUCUUGGAAAAGAGUCUGCAACUGCUGUUCAACUAAAACAGCACAAUAUCUCACAGCAUUCUAAAUGUUUGUCUUUACACCCACAGAUAAGUGUAGUUCUUACACCUGUCAAGGAAACGUCAACUUAUCGAGUUGUGGAGCUUAAUCUCAACCGACACAUCUACAGCACAACUUCUGAACCCAAGACAUAGGGAUCCGUGCAGGGGCAGCGGGAGGGGGAGGCAAUAAAAAUGUAAAAACUAGUGGAACAGGGAGUUCUCUGUGAGAUUAUGAGUUCUAGAAAUGUCAGAUUCUAUACCCAUAAAUUAUCAGCAACAUGGCUCUCUAAACACAGCCAGAACAAGAAUAACAUCAAUAGAUGUGGAAGGCAGAAAACUUGGUGUGGAGGGAACUAAGAAAGAAAUACAGGCAACUAAGGAAUGCUGAGAGUAAGAGAAAUAGUCUUCCCUGGGGAGGAGCACAGCUAGUUACCCAAUACCAAGUUGUCAGCCCUGAAAACCUACAUCUAAGUAGUGUUAUUUGGACUGAGCAAAUUGUAUUUGUGUAUUUAAGAGUGUGUGUGUGUAAAUGGGAUCUCAUAAAACUGCAAAGCUUCUGUAAGGCAAAGGACACUGUGGUUAGGACAAAACGACAACCAACAGAUUGGGAAAAGAUCUUUACCAAUCCUACAACAGAUAGAGGCCUUAUAUCCAAAAUAUAUGAAGAACUCAAGAAAUUAGACCGCAGGGAAACAAAUGACCCUAUUAAAAAUGGGGUUCAGAGCUAAACAAAGAAUUCACAGCUGAGGAAUGCCGAAUGGCUGAGAAACACCUAAAGAAAUGUUCAACAUCUUUAGUCAUAAGAGAAAUGCAAAUCAAAACAACCCUGAGAUUUCACCUCACACCAGUGAGAAUGGCUAAGAUCAAAAACUCAGGGGACAACAGAUGCUGGCGAGGAUGUGGAGAAAGAGGAACACUCCUCCACUGUUGGUGGGAUUGCAAACUGGUACAACCAUUCUGGAAAUCAGUCUGGAGGUUCCUCAGAAAAUUGGAUAUUGAACUGCCUGAGGAUCCAGCUAUACCUCUCUUGGGCAUAUACCCAAAAGAUGCCCCAACAUAUAAAAAAGACACGUGCUCCACUAUGUUCAUUGCAGCCUUAUUUAUAAUAGCCAGAAGCUGGAAAGAACCCAGAUGCCCUUCAACAGAGGAAUGGAUACAGAAAAUGUGGUACAUCUACACAAUGGAAUAUUACUCAGCUAUCAAAAACAACGACUUUAUGAAAUUCGUAGGCAAAUGGUUGGAACCGGAAAACAUCAUCCUGAGUGAGCUAACCCAAUCACAGAAAGACAUACAUGGUAUGCACUCAUUGAUAAGUGGCUAUUAGCCCAAAUGCUUGAAUUGCCCUAGAUGCACAGAACACAUGAAACUCAAGACGGAUGAUCAAAAUGUGAAUGCUUCACUCCUUCUUUAAAAGGGGAACAAGAAUACCCUUGGCAGGGAAGAGAGAGGCAAAGAUUAAAACAGAGACUGAAGGAACACCCAUUCAGAGUCUGCCCCACAUGU